rnacentral:lncRNA from 1 species
CCUAGACUUUGGGCGAUCGAAGCCCUUGGGGAGACUGCACCUGGGCAGACUGAGAUGGGCUAGGUGGCGUUCACUGUCAGCAACUUUGAGUGGGGAGAGAAGGGAAGGGUCUUGUAGAAGGGACCUAACUGAGGCCAUCUUGUGUCCUGUGGGGUGGAUGUCUCUGUACAACUUGUGGUCCCUGGGCCCCGUUCAGAGAGGGAAAUACCUUUUACCCAAACACCUCCAAGUACUCGGGAGAAGCCAGUCUUGCGUUUCACAAAACCAAAUGAGGUUUGGGUUUUCUUUUCAUGGCACCAGUUUUAUUUUGACGGGCUGGACGGUAAAUCCGAAAAGUCAGUUUGACUUUUUUGAAGGUAAAAGUCCCGUAUUAAUGAUUGUCAAAUUUUCUGAUUGACAUUGAUUACAUGCUGAUUUAUCUAGUUUGUAGUCCUUUUCUCCCUCCCUUCCUUCCUUCUUUCUUUUCUUCCUUCUUUCUCUUCUUUCUUUCCUUUCUUUCUUUCUCUUCUUUCUUUCCUUCUUUUCUUUCUUUCUUUUUUCUUUUCUUUCUUUCUUUCUUCUUCUUUCUUCUUUCUUUUUUUUCUUUGUUUCUUUUCUUUUUUCUUUCUUUCCUUCUUUAUUUCUUUCUUUCUUUUUUCUUUGUUUCUUUUCUUUUUUUCUUUCUUUCUUUCUUUCUUUUUUCUUUGUUUGUUUGUUUCUUUCUUUCUUUCUUUCUUUAUUUUCUUCCUUCUUUUCUUUCUUCUUUCUUUCUCUUCUUUCUUUCUUUCUUUCUUUCUUUUUCUUUGUUUGUUUGUUUCUUUUCUUUCUUUCUUUCCUUCUUUCUUUCUUCUUUCUUUUUUCUUUCUUUCUUUCUUUUCCUUUCUUUCUUUCCUUCUUUAUUUCUUUCUUUCUUCUUUCUUUCCUUCUUUUCUUUCUUUCCUUCUUUAUUUCUUUCUUUCUUUCGUUCUUUCUUUCUUUCUUUCUUUUUCUUUCUUUCUUCUUUCUUUUUCUUUCUUUCUUUCCUUCUUUAUUUCUUUCUUCUUUCUUUCUUCCUUCUUUUCUUUCUUCUUCUUUCUUUUUUUUUUUUCUUUUUUCUUUGUUUGUUUCUUUUCUUUCUUUCUUUCCUUCUUUCUUUCUUUCUUUCUUUCUUUCUUUCUUUUUUCUUUUUUCUUUUUUCUUUCUUUCUUUCUUUUUCUUUGUUUGUUUCUUUUCUUUUUCUUUCUUUCCUUCUUUAUUUCUUUCUUUCUUUCUUUCUUUCUUCUUUCUUUCUUUCUUUCUUCUUUCUUCUUCCUUCCUUCCUUCUUUCUUUCUUUCUUUCUUUCUUUCUUUCUUUCUUCUUCCUUCUUUCUUUCUUUCUUUCUUUCUCUUCUUUCUUCUUUUUUUCUUUGUUUGUUUGUUUCUUUUCUUUCUUUCUUUUUCUUUUCUUUCUUUCCUUCUUUUCUUUUCUUUCCUUCUUUAUUUCUUUCUUUCCUUCUUUUCUUUUCUUUCUUCUUCUUUCUUUCUUUCGUUCUUUCUUUCUUCUUUUUUUCUUUGUUUGUUUGUUUCUUUUCUUUCUUCUUUUUUUCUUUGUUUGUUUGUUUCUUUUCUUUCUCUUCUUUCUUUCUCUUCUUUCUUUCUUUUUUCUUUUUCAGAUGGGAGUUGACCUGGCGGAUGAAGCUGGCCAAGUCUGCUAGGAAGCUCAGAGACUCCGGGAGGCGACCGGAGCUGGAAGAAGUGCCAGGCCAUGCUGAGGACGCCCUUGGCCAAAUGGCACUCUGCCUUGGUCUUCCCUUCUUAUCAUCUUCCCUCCAUGGCGGGAUGGAGGAGGUGGUGUCAGGUGCU